rnacentral:misc_RNA from 1 species
GAUGAAGAACGUAGCAAAAUGCGAUAAGUAAUGUGAAUUGCAGAAUUCAGUGAAUCAUCGAAUCUUUGAACGCACAUUGCGCCCGCCAGUAUUCUGGCGGGCAUGCCUGUUCGAGCGUCAUUUCAACCCUCAAGCCCUCGGGUUUGGUGUUGGGGAUCGGCGAGCCUUUCUGGCAAGCCGGCCCCGAAAUCUAGUGGCGGUCUCGCUGCAGCCUCCAUUGCGUAGUAGUAAAACCCUCGCAACUGGAACGCGGCGCGGCCAAGCCGUUAAACCCCCAACUUCUGAAUGUUGACCUCGGAUCAGGUAGGAAUACCCGCUGAACUUAAGCAUAUCAAAGCGGAGGA